rnacentral:sRNA from 1 species
UUAAGCCUCUGAGCUCAGGGAUGCAGAGGCAUUGAGUUACUACCAAGGGCCUGAUCUUUUCUUUAGCAGGCAUCUGUGUUAAUUGUUUCGAAAGGUGGUGAUCAGUUUUACAGCCUAUUAUAAAGGAGAUUUUUGCCUACUAUAAAACUAAUCCCCCUGAAAGAGUGAGUAAACAUAACUUUUUGUGUGUUGACUUCCACAAGGGAAGGAGUUGGCACUUACACUCUGACUUUUGAUUCAGUCGUCCUUCUUGAGCCAUUUUUGCAGGGGAUCAGUUUGGAGUGGGCGUUAACAAUGUUAUUUUUUUUUUUCUUCUCCAGAACACCUUCCACCAUGACCACCUCAGCAAGUUCCCACUUAAAUAAAGGCAUCAAGCAGGUGUACAUGUCCCUGCCUCAGGGUGAGAAAGUCCAGGCCAUGUAUAUCUGGAUCGAUGGUACUGGAGAAGGCCUGCGCUGCAAGACCCGGACUCUGGACAGUGAGCCCAAGUGUGUGGAAGAGUUGCCUGAGUGGAAUUUCGAUGGCUCUAGUACUUUACAGUCUGAGGGUUCCAACAGUGACAUGUAUCUCGUGCCUGCUGCCAUGUUUCGGGACCCCUUCCGUAAGGACCCUAACAAGCUGGUGUUAUGUGAAGUUUUCAAGUACAAUCGAAGGCCUGCAGAGACCAAUUUGAGGCACACCUGUAAACGGAUAAUGGACAUGGUGAGCAACCAGCACCCCUGGUUUGGCAUGGAGCAGGAGUAUACCCUCAUGGGGACAGAUGGGCACCCCUUUGGUUGGCCUUCCAACGGCUUCCCAGGGCCCCAGGGUAAGUCUCCUUGGGUUAGAGGUGAAAUUCCCAGAAGUGUCUAACUGUGCAGGAAUGCCCC